rnacentral:ncRNA from 1 species
CACGCACAGGGCAAACCAUUCGAAAGAGUGGGACGCAAAGCCUCCGGCCUAAACGGCAUUGCACUCCGCCGUAGGUAGCGGGGUUACCGAU